ACGGGUGAGUAACACGUGGAUAACCUACCUAUAAGACUGGGAUAACUUCGGGAAACCGGAGCUAAUACCGGAUAACAUAUUGAACCGCAUGGUUCAAUAGUGAAAGGCGGCUUUGCUGUCACUUAUAGAUGGAUCCGCGCCGUAUUAGCUAGUUGGUAAGGUAACGGCUUACCAAGGCAACGAUACGUAGCCGACCUGAGAGGGUGAUCGGCCACACUGGAACUGAGACACGGUCCAGACUCCUACGGGAGGCAGCAGUAGGGAAUCUUCCGCAAUGGGCGAAAGCCUGACGGAGCAACGCCGCGUGAGUGAUGAAGGUCUUCGGAUCGUAAAACUCUGUUAUCAGGGAAGAACAAAUGUGUAUGUAACUGUGCACAUCUUGACGGUACCUGAUCAGAAAGCCACGGCUAACUACGUGCCAGCAGCCGCGGUAAUACGUAGGUGGCAAGCGUUAUCCGGAAUUAUUGGGCGUAAAGCGCGCGUAGGCGGUUUUUUAAGUCUGAUGUGAAAGCCCACGGCUCAACCGUGGAGGGUCAUUGGAAACUGGAAAACUUGAGUGCAGAAGAGGAAAGUGGAAUUCC
rnacentral:rRNA from 1 species